rnacentral:misc_RNA from 1 species
GUAGGUGAACCUGCGGAAGGAUCAUUAACAAUUAUCCAAUCCCAUAUGGAUGGUUUAAAUCCAUAUCCACCUUGUGUGCACCCAUUGAAAUGUUUGCUUUGGCAGCGCAGAGUCUGUUUGUUAACAACUUUACAGCGAGGGGUCAUACUCUCGGCCUGCCAAGGUUUUUUUUUUUUCCUUCACUCUAAAAACACUCUGCUCAAACUUUUUUGUCAGUCUGAAAUUUUAUAAAAAUAAAAUCAAAUACAAC